UUGAGAGCCUCCUUCAUGUAACUACAAGUCAGUUACAUCUGGGGAACACCAUCUACAUUCUAAGUCACUAUGUGGCUGGAGUAAUUCUCUUUGGCCAGAGAGAAGAGAUCAGGAGACAGAUUUUGUCAAAGAUCAAUUUUGACCAGUAUAGAGCCAUUGUGUCCUUUGUCAACAUAAACAAUGUACACUGGAAGUUUCUUUAUUUGAAUGCAGAUAACAGCACAGUUUAUUUGGUUGACCCUGCACACAGCUCCACUGAGCAGACUGAGUCUGAAGAAGCAGCGAAAAGAUU